rnacentral:rRNA from 1 species
UACGUAGGGUGCGAGCGUUAAUCGGAAUUACUGGGCGUAAAGCGUGCGUAGGCGGUUCGUUAAGUUCGUUGUGAAAGCCCCGGGCUCAACCUGGGAAUGGCAAUGGAAACUGGCGGGCUGGAGUAUGGCAGAGGGGGGUGGAAUUCCGCGUGUAGCAGUGAAAUGCGUAGAGAUGCGGAGGAACACCGAUGGCGAAGGCAGCCCCCUGGGUCAAGACUGACGCUCAUGCACGAAAGCGUGGGGAGCAAACAGG